UACGAAGGGGGCUAGCGUUGCUCGGAAUUACUGGGCGUAAAGGGAGCGUAGGCGGAUCGUUAAGUUAGAGGUGAAAGCCCAGGGCUCAACCCUGGAAUUGCCUUUAAAACUGGCGGUCUUGAGUAUGGUAGAGGUGUGUGGAACUCCGAGUGUAGAGGUGAAAUUCGUAGAUAUUCGGAAGAACACCAGUGGCGAAGGCGACACACUGGACCACUACUGACGCUGAGGCUCGAAAGCGUGGGGAGCAAACAGG
rnacentral:rRNA from 1 species